rnacentral:rRNA from 1 species
GAUGAACGCUGGCGGCGCGCCUAACACAUGCAAGUCGAACGAUUAAAGCACCUUCGGGUGUGUAUAAAGUGGCGAACGGCUGAGUAACACGUGGGCAACCUGCCCCUUUCAUUGGGAUGGCCACGGGAAACCGUGGAUAAUACCGAAUACUUCGAGACUUCCGCAUGGAAGACUCGAGAAAGCUCCGGCGGAGAGGGAUGGGCCCGCGGCCUGUUAGCUUGUUGGUGGGGUAACGGCCUACCAAGGCAAUGAUGGGUAGCUGGGUUGAGAGACCGACCAGCCAGAUUGGGACUGAGACACGGCCCAGACUCCUACGGGAGGCAGCAGUGGGGAAUCUUGCACAAUGGGCGAAAGCCUGAUGCAGCGACGCCGCGUGCGGGAUGAAGGCCUUCGGGUUGUAAACCGCUUUCAGCAGGGACGAGGCGAAAGUGACGGUACCUGCAGAAGAAGCCCCGGCUAACUACGU